rnacentral:tRNA from 1 species
GGUAGGGAUUAGCUCAGUCUGUAUAGUGUUUGCCUUACAUGCACAAGGCCUUGGGUUCUAUCCCCAGAACCACCA